CCAUUGUCACUGCCCAAGCCUCCCAAGCGUCAAAGCGAGGCCCCCUAGGGCAAUGACUGGAUAUCUCCAGGGCCUUGCAACCUAAACUUUUAGUGUGUAUGGUUAUUGGUUAGGAUGCGUUGACGGUCAAACAUUACUUGUUUCCUUUCCUCUGGAAACUCCACUGAAUCUCCGCCACCCACCACUUGUCGCCUUUCUAUUGGACCCCCCUCUCCUCGUGACCACACCUUUUUAACUAUCCUCUCCGAUUCGCAUUUUAACCCUCGCUUUGACGCAGGACUCUUCUUCUAUUCAUCAUCAUCCCCAUUCCAAAAUCUUUCUAAGGCAGAAGUUACUUUUUAGUUUGAUAGAGCUAGGAUGCUGCCUACUGAAUCAUCGCGUGAGGAAAAUGUCUACAUGGCCAAGUU
rnacentral:misc_RNA from 1 species